GGCCAGAGAAAGUGGUUUAUAGGAUAAGCUCAGUGAUAGAGGUCGGAAACUCUUGUCUCCCAGGCUUUUCCUGACUGAGAGUUUACCCCUGAGAGAUACAGCUCAAGGCUGGGUGUCCAUGGAGGCCCAGCUCGGAGUGAGACCUUGUUUAUGGAGAUGCACACAGGACUUUUAAUUAUGUUCUCCAUUCUCUUCUUCCAUUGUUUUCAUAGACUAAAUUGCUAAAUUUUUUUAGGACUCCUUGGCCCUUACCCCCAAAAGCUGCCCUUGGGUUGAAACAGGAUCAUGUCAGUCUUGCUAGACUUGAUGAUAAAUGCUGUGUGGUCUGGUACAUGACACAGUGCCACAUACAGCACGCUGUUUUGUGGAAGGUAUGAAUAGGCAGGUUUACUGUAAUAAAACAAAAUUCUAUGCACACAUGUAGGCAUGAUUAAGAAGGUCUUUAAAUGCAUUUAUCUAGCAUUGCUCCAUGUUGAAUACAUAUAGAUUGAAUUUACAAAUCACUCAUGUUAAUUCUACCUAAAAGUUAGAAGAUUAAAUUGCUGAUGAUUAGGUCUCCCAUGUUUAAUUGGUUACAUAGAGCAUGUAAAAACAGCAACAACAACAAUUUCCCAGGCUUCCUCUUAGCCAGACAGAUAAAGAAUUGUUCCUGUAUUCAUGUAAGUAAGAAGGUAUUCUAAAAUUCUGUAGCACUCUGACAGACAAGCUGGAGAAGCUAGGCUCACUGAGAAAAUUAGUCCCCAUCCCCCUAGUGACCCUCAGUCCCAGAGCAUAUAGAAGGGAAACAAGUCAAUUCCCAUACUCACUGUGAUGCGUGAGGAGGUUCUGAGCAUUGAAAGCCACUGUGCCUGCUUGAGGGUC
rnacentral:lncRNA from 1 species